UGUUUGUUUGUUUUAUACCAUUAAUAUAAUGUUUGUCUUCUUUCUCUUUUGAGUACUGAUUUCCAUCUAGUCUUGAGUGCAAAGUUUAGCUCCAGCCCCAAUCAUGUACAGCUGAAUCAGCUGAUCAGGGUCUUCAGGAGAACCACAGACUUCCAAGCAGGCGUGUGGACGGGUUGGAGCUGAACUCUGUCGGAUGUUGGUCCUUCAGGACACCACUGCUCUAAACAAAGAGCCACCAGGUCGCUGCAUCUUUUGUAAUAUGAUGGAACAAAAAGUAGGCUGGCCACAGCGUCUGAAAUGGAAACAUCUAUUAAAAUGCCUCCUCAGUAUAAGACACUUGGGAUGGUGGAAGGAGCAGAAGAACAGCGAUCAGGCAGAGUUCUACUGUUGCCCCUUAGGGAACUGAUUUAUAAUCUACUUAACAUUCUGAUUUAGUAAUAAUUGAUCAUUGCUCUGUCCUAUAAAAUUAUUUAAUACAUUCCACUGUUCAAUAGUUUGGGGUCAGUAUUUUAUUAUUAUUUUUUUUAAAUCUAAGAAAUACAUUUUUACAUUUGAAAUGUUUAAGAAAUUAUUUUUAUUCAGCAAGGAUGCAUUAAAU